rnacentral:rRNA from 1 species
GACGAAGGGGGCUAGCGUUGUUCGGAAUUACUGGGCGUAAAGCGCGUGUAGGCGGUUGGUCAAGUCAGGGGUGAAAGCCUUGAGCUCAACUCAAGAAAUGCACUUGAUACUGGAUAACUAGAGGACCGGAGAGGAUAGUGGAAUUCCCAGUGUAGUGGUGAAAUACGUAGAGAUUGGGAAGAACACCAGUGGCGAAGGCGGCUAUCUGGACGGUUUCUGACGCUAAGACGCGAAAGCGUGGGGAGCAAACAGG